AACAAGGCGUACCUGCGGACCUGCGGAAGGAUCAUUACGAGAGUGUCACCACUCCCAACCCAUUGUUUACCUACCCGUCCACCGUGCUUCGGCAGGCAGCCCUGUGGGACAGAGCCUCGCCCCCUUUCGCGGGGGGUGCCUGCCGCUUGCCAACCAAAACUCUAGCUGUUUUAGUACCAUCUGAGUCUUCCACAAAUGAACAAAACUUUCAACAACGGAUCUCAGAUCGGAAGAGCACAC
rnacentral:misc_RNA from 1 species